UACGUAGGGGGCAAGCGUUGUCCGGAUUUAUUGGGCGUAAAGAGCGUGUAGGCGGCUUGGCAAGUCCGCUGUGAAAACUCGAGGCUUAACCUCGAGACGUCGGUGGAAGCUGCCUGGCUAGAGUCCGGAAGAGGAGUGUGGAAUUCCUGGUGUAGCGGUGAAAUGCGCAGAUAUCAGGAAGAACACCUAUGGCGAAGGCAGCACUCUGGGACGGUACUGACGCUGAGACGCGAAAGCGUGGGGAGCGAACAGG
rnacentral:rRNA from 1 species